rnacentral:lncRNA from 1 species
CCUGCCUCAACCUCCCCAGUAGCUGGGAUUACCGGCACUCGCCACCAAGCCUAGCUAAUUUUUUUGUAUUUUGACUAGAGAUGGGGUUUCACCAUGUUAGUCAAGCUGCUCUUGUUUUUUUUUGUUGUUGUUGUUGUUGUUGUUUGAUACCAAGUCUCGCUCUAUCAUCCAGGCUGGAGUGCAGUGGUGCAAUCUCGGCUCACUGCAAUCUCUGUUUCCCAGGCUCAAGUGAUUCUCCUGCCUCAGCCUCCCAAGUACUACAGGCGCAAGCCACUGCACCCAGCUAAGUUUUGUAUUUUCAGUAAAGACGGGGUUUUACCAUGUUGGCCAGGCUGGUCUUGAACUCCCGACCUCGUGAUCUGCCCUCCUCGGCCUCCCAAAGUGCUGGGAUUACAGGUGUGAGCCACCACGCCCGGCCUAGAAUUCCAUUUCUAACGUGGUUUAACCCAGCACUUCCCAAACUCUUUUGACAGGGAACCCUUCUCUUCCCCAAGGAGCUUCUUACAGAACAGGUGUUCUCAGGAACACAUUCGAGGAGCCCCCUGCUAAUGAGAGCCAGAGAGCCCCUGGGUUCGCACACUCCAAUGCUGGCCAUCUGAAUCCGGAGCUGUGGGUGGGAGGGGACCCUGAGCCUUGGGCACUAGAGGGAUGGCAUAGAGGAGCUUCUAGAAGGACGCCAUACUGUGUAGUACUCUAGGUUCUAGCACCUGUGGUUCUUGAGCACUUGAAAUGUGGCUUGAGUUGCUGAGGGGUUUUUUUUGUUUAAUUUUUUAAAACAGGGUCUUGCUCUGUUGCCCAGGCUGGAGUGUAGUGGCACGAUCAUAGCUCACUGCAGCCUCCAACUCCUGGGCUCAAGCAAUCCUCCUGCCUCAGCCUCUGAGUAGGCUGGCACUACCGGCAUGCAUCACCACACCUGGCUCAUUUAAAAAAAAUUUUUUUAGAGGUGGGAUCUUGCUAUGUUGUUCAGGCUGGUCUUGAAUUCCCAGGCUCAAG